CUCAUUCUCACCAACAACAGUCUAGUGGAACUGGGUGAUCUGGACCCAUUGGCAUCUCUCAAAUCACUGACAUAUCUAAGCAUCCUAAGAAACCCUGUGACCAAUAAGAAGCAUUAUCGACUCUAUGUGAUUUAUAAGGUUCCACAAGUCAGAGUACUGGACUUUCAGAAAGUGAAACUAAAAUUUUAAUCCAGGUGCUGGUUUGCCAACUGACAAAAAGAAAGGUGGGCCAUCUGCAGGGGAUGUGGAAGCAAUCAAGAAUGCCAUAGCAAACGCGUCAACACUGGCUGAAGUUGAGAGGCUGAAGGGCUUGCUGCAGUCUGGCCAGAUUCCUGGCAGAGAGCGCAGAUCAGGGCCGAGUGAUGAGGGUGAAGAGGAGAUGGAAGACGGCACAGUCACAAAUGGGUCCUGAGCUCUGGCAGGUGCUCUGAUAAGCUCGUGGGAUGUCUUGCAUUUGAGCAUUGAGUAACAGCCUUGCUUGUGUCAGCAACGUGGAAUCUGCAGCUUUGCUGAAUGAUCAGAACUACUGCUGAUAAUUUUUUAAUAGAAACCUUGAAAUGGCAAUGCCAAUUUUCUACAAAUGGUAAAUAAAGGCAACCUACUGUGCUGCC
rnacentral:lncRNA from 1 species